UACGUAGGGGGCGAGCGUUGUCCGGAUUUAUUGGGCGUAAAGAGCGUGUAGGCGGCCAGGUAGGUCUGCUGUGAAAACUCGAGGCUCAACCUCGAGACGUCGGCGGAAACCAUCUGGCUAGAGUCCGGAAGAGGAGAGUGGAAUUCCUGGUGUAGCGGUGAAAUGCGCAGAUAUCGGGAAGAACACCCGUGACGAAGGCGGCUCUCUGGAACGCAACUGACGCUGAGACGCGAAAGCGUGGGGAGCAAACAGG
rnacentral:rRNA from 1 species